UCCGGGGUAGCUCAGUCGGUUAGAGCAUCUGACUGUUAAUCAGAGGGUCGUGGGUUCGAGUCCCACCCCCGGAG
rnacentral:tRNA from 1 species